rnacentral:rRNA from 1 species
AUACAUAGGGUGCGAGCGUUGUUCGGAAUUACUGGGCGUAAAGGGCGCGCAGGCGGAAUAGUAAGUCGGAGGUGAAAGCCCGGGGCUCAACCCCGGAGGGUCUUUCGAAACUGCUAAUCUAGAGAGGGUCAGGGGCCGGCAGAAUUCCUGGUGUAGAGGUGAAAUUCGUAGAUAUCAGGAGGAAUACCGGUGGCGAAGGCGGCCGGCUGGGGCCACUCUGACGCUGAGGCGCGAAAGCGUGGGGAGCAAACAGGAUUAGAUACCCCGGUAGUCC